UACGUAGGGCGCAAGCGUUAUCCGGAAUUAUUGGGCGUAAAGAGCUCGUAGGCGGUUUGUCGCGUCUGCUGUGAAAGACCGGGGCUCAACUCCGGUUCUGCAGUGGGUACGGGCAGACUAGAGUGAUGUAGGGGAGACUGGAAUUCCUGGUGUAGCGGUGAAAUGCGCAGAUAUCAGGAGGAACACCGAUGGCGAAGGCAGGUCUCUGGGCCGUAACUGACGCUGAGGAGCGAAAGCGUGGGGAGCGAACAGG
rnacentral:rRNA from 1 species